GGUAACCACUCUGGAGAGUCUCUCUUCCAUUCUGGGAAGAGAGCGCCGAAGGUGUACGGCUUACAGCCAAUCUCUCAGGCAUAAAGGACAGAGCAUUACAU
rfam:Firmicutes bacterium CAG:194 genomic scaffold, scf34